AGAUAAUAAUAGGCAUAGAUGCCUAGAUCCAUGAAAGGAGGUGGCUUCAGUUCUGCUGUGCAGAGUUGUUAGAAGCAGUACAGCAACUCUGACUUCUACAAGGAGGCAAUGAACACAGACCUGUACUUCACACUGGUUUAUCACAGGAAUUUUUCCAGUCCCUGCUCUGCCUGAGCAUCUCUGAACAGCCAACUGGAGCAACUAGAAAGCGAGGCAGACUCAGCACAGAAGCAAAUCUGACAAAGUGACCUCAGCCCUGACCUGGAGCUUCCCUCUCUCGGGUAGAGAUUGUUCAUGUGCCAGAGCCAUUCCAGCCGCAGCUCCUCAGCCCCCUGGGGUGGAAAUCUGUGCCCUGGUCUGCUAGAAAUGAGAGCUUUGGUGACACAAACUAUUGAACAGCCCUCGACUGGCAGUCACUGUCACUCAUUGUCAACCUGAGCCUGCUUUGAGGAACCAGCUACUGGUAAAGCGCUAUUGAAAACAUUUUUUUUUAUUCUUAAAUUUCCCUUUGCAGGGAAGAUACCUGUUAAUAUCAGGUAGUUAAGAAAGGAAGAGGUUGGCUCUGAUCUAUUUGUUUUUGUUCCAUGCCAUCAUUCCAGGUGACCUAGUUUAGGAUUGUGAUGAAAUCUGAAGAGCAGAGUAUUGAAAAUGUUGUUUGUGAGAGCCUGUGUGCCAGAACAGUAUGGGGUAAAAUCAUCUUAAUGAGAUGCUAGAUCAUCUAUAGAAUGCAUUUCUCAGUAAAUACAGUGGAUUUAUUUUCCUUAAGGGGAAUUCAAUGAACCUCUCACAGGAAUGCACUUUUCUAAGGCUGAAAAAAAAUUAAGUAGAUGCUUUAGUUCUUUUAAGGGUUAAGCAGAAGCAAA